rnacentral:rRNA from 1 species
AUGGGCAACUCCGGGAGCACAGCUCCUGCAAGCUUAGGAAAGACCCAUGUUCCACAUUUCAAAUGGAAGGUUCAUGACUUCUACGCGCUACUUGAGACGAAGGCUACCUCAGCAUUCUCUGCUGCUUUUGACUGCUCUGGGUACAAGUGCUACCUGCAAGUGACUCCAAAGCACAAGCAAGAUGAUAAGGGAAAUCCAUACGUGGCUCUUUCUCUUAAGAUAGCCCACAGAUGCUUGGAGCUAGGUCACAUUGUGCAUGCAGUGUUCGAGUUGUCAAUAUUCAACCAUUCAAAAGGAAAGUAUUGUGGAUGCAAAGCUAGCUACAAUUUUGAUUUCAAGAAUGCCUACUCGGAGCAGCAUUGCUUGAUUCCUCUUCAAGAGCUACUGAAAUCAUCUGCUUUUCUAGUUGAUGAUAGCUGUGUCUUCGGUGUGAAGAUAUUAAAAAUUGAUGUCUCUUCUCCUGAAAAGAAGGUUGUUGUGGUUCAGAAGAAGGCUACCACAGUUCAGAAUCUAUUUGUCCAGAAGAAGGGGUUCAUUAAAGGGGCAUACACUUGGGCCAUGAACAAUUUCCUUGAAUUGGACUUGAAGCACUUCGUCCGUUCUCCUACAUUUGAAGUUGGCGGACAUAAAUGUACAUCGGCAUGUAUCCGCAUGGUGACAAGUACAGCACUGACUGCCUCAGCUUGUACUUGUUCCUGGAUACCUCGGAUGAGCUCCCUUCAGAGUCCGGGAAGGUGGUUGAAAUGA